rnacentral:rRNA from 1 species
UACGCACUUCGGGACCUAUGGUUGCUUAGGUCGGUGGCCUGGUCCGUCGUUGGUUGAGGUCUUAGGAAAAGGGGGAACUGAACGCUCGCACCCCCACCCCGUGGCCGCAGACCCUCUGACCGGCGGCACCCCCGCUGGCGACCGCCCACCGGCCGAUCCCUAACCAGCCGAGGAAGGAGGAGGCGAGUCUAAGUAGGUGAAGACGGAGUCGACGCCGACAGGCGAUGUUGUAGUCCGAGGCAGCUGCGGCGCGUCACGGAGCGAAGUGGGGAGGUUUCUAAAGAAAGUUCGAGGCGGUGACGAGUAGUCCCAACGGUUGACGUUUAAUAAUUGGAGACCUGGAGACUUCUCGUUAAGUUCCCUCGGAGGCGAACGCAAAUGACUGAAAUGUCUCUAAUCACACCACGGCGAUCGACGAGCCAGUGACUCUUCCGGCGGCUCUGCCGCUAGCACAACCGGCAGCUGAGUUAGUAGUGAGGCCGCUCAUGCGACAAGAGCGACUAGGCGAUGUAGUGUUGCCGCCACUGCUUCCGCUCGCUCACGGUCCUGUCCACGGCUCUAGACCUGUUGGCCCAGACGGACGACUUCUUUUAAGAAAGACCCGAGGUGAGCCUCCGCCGCUUGCUACUGCGGUGCCGCACCCGCGACAGCUCAGAGUUCCUCCGGGAGGAGGUGCGCGACUUCGAACACGUUAGGACGCUGGCGCGGGUCUCGCCGUAGUAGGCGGUCAAGAAUAAGUAAACGUCGCGGCUCCUCUUCGUGCGAUACAAACUACUGCAGUCCUUCUCCUAGCUGUCGACGGUUCCACUGGAGAACGAGCGAGAACGACGAGCGAUAACGGUAGAAGUUCGUCGGUAGCGGGGCCGUUUUCUCUAGCAGGUGUUCGUGAUGAUGUUGUAUCUGUCACGCGACAAGGUACAGGUACAGGUGGGUGCUCCUCCGCGUCCGCGUCGUCGUAGCCCAGGGGUCCAUGAUGGGCAGUACGGGGACGCCGGGCUGCUUGCCGCAGCAGCUGAGCCGCUUCGGUGAGAAGGUGCGUGUCUCUGCGGUUCUUCUGGACUUCUUGCCACAGCUGUGCCGUGGUGAGACGGGGAAGUUGAAGAACGACUAAGGGGAACCUCCGGUUCAGUAGCAGAAGCAAGAUUACGGGGCCGCCUCCGUAGAGCCCUCGCCCAGCGGCCGGGGCAGGGUGUAACGCCGUUGGCCCAACUCGGUCGGUUGCAAGCCGGCUGCUCUGGGAGGGUAGCCUUCGGUGUGUUCCUCUGUUGUUGGCAGGUUCGACGAGGAGGGAGCCGCGGAUGAGGUCACCACGGGCUGGCACCUGCGCGAGGACCUGGAGCACGACGGCGCCGUCUGUCUGAGGGUGCUGUGUUGUUGGCACAGUGACGACAACUACGAUUGCGCUAGCGAGCACGCCACCGGUUAGGCGUACCGCUACGGUUGGUAACUAGUCGGCGGCGUAGGGGGCACCGGUCUGGCGGUCUGGUUUUACUGAUACGUCUAGACACUCCACUCCAUGAGGCAGGAACGUUCAACGUUGUCUUCUUAGGGCGUUCGUUAUUCUUUUCCUUAAAGUUAAGACUUAACCAAUCUUUAACAUUACCUGUAAAACGACAUUAAGUCCUCUAGGUCUUUAAACAGCAACUGUAUUAUGUGCGACCAAUUACAUCAUAACAUCAAAAUAUGGACGCAUAAAAGAUCGACAUUCGGAGGGAACUCACAGUUACCAUUCAAACAACCCUCACAAUCUCGUCCUUGCCCACUCGAAGUACUACCAUGAACAAUUCUUGUUCGUAAGUUACAAAGAAGAAGAUUAUCGUUUGACAACGUGAAGAAGGGCAGUCUUCUUUCUCCUGGGAAACUGAUGCCAAAGACCACGGAGAUCGGCCACGGUGGCGGCCAGUUGGAGCAGAAAACACCAGAAUCCCGGUACCACCGCGCCACCUAGAACCGGUAACGGCCGCCCUCACGAGGCAAAAGUACAAAAGAACUCAAGACAAUCCUAAACAUAUAUAGAACGAAUC